rnacentral:rRNA from 1 species
AACGAACGCUGGCGGCAGGCCUAACACAUGCAAGUCGAACGCCGUAGCAAUACGGAGUGGCAGACGGGUGAGUAACGCGUGGGAACAUACCCCUCGGUUCGGAAUAACUUAGGGAAACUUGAGCUAAUACCGGAUACGUCCGAGGUUUUAACCGGCCUCGGAGAAAGAUUUAUCGCCGGAGGAUUGGCCCGCGUCUGAUUAGCUUGUUGGUGAGGUAAUGGCUCACCAAGGCGACGAUCAGUAGCUGGUCUGAGAGGAUGAUCAGCCACAUUGGGACUGAGACACGGCCCAAACUCCUACGGGAGGCAGCAGUGGGGAAUAUUGGGACAAUGGCGAAAGCCUGAUCCAGCCAUGCCGCGUGAGUGAUGAAGCCUUAGGUUGUAAAGCUCUUUUACCCGGAAGAUAAUGACGGUACCGGGAGAAUAAGCCCCGACUAACUUCGUGCC